UUGCUGCCGUAAAUGAGUCUCUAACUUGAGAAAAGUCGCGCUGUGGUCGGCAGCGAGAAUGAUUUGUCCGGUCCUCCCCUCCAGUGAAGUAAAAGCCCGAUCUGCACGCAGUUGCUUGCCUUGCUUCAGAUGUGGAAGCUGGGCUCAGCGUCUGGAAAGAAGCUCCCUGUGCUUCAAGCUUCUGGGGACCUUGCAACGUCAUCGCAUGCCUGCACUCGGGAUUCAGCGGAAAAAAAAUGCGAGAGCAGUCCGCAAGCGCCAGCGGAACUGAGAUUACACGAAUGUGACUCACAUUACUACAAACUAUUGGAAGCACGCUAGCCACAGCAGUCCGUAGUGUGAUGGUGAAGAUGCGAUGCUAACCAAGCUGUUUCAGAUGCAGCACAGAACUAAUCAAAGCAACCAAAACAGAUUUACAAGAUACAUAGAUGAGCCUGAAAAAUGGGCAAAGAUUUCUGUUGUUCCUCUGUGUGAUUGGGACAACACAUCCAUCCUGGGACAGGCCAAACAGAGACACGCACGAGAAUUCCUAGAAUCAUGGCAUUCCAACCAGAACUCCAUCAACAAACACAUUGAUUUGGAGCCCAUCUACCACCCUUUGAGAAAAAGAACAGGAAAUGACAUCAACACAGGAAAUGUCAUCACCAACCCAAGGAAACCUAAACACAUAAAUAGAAAGCGGGACAUAACACCAGCGCUUCACCGGAGGCUCACUGAUGACGUUACCUAGAAUGGUGAUGAAACGUCUGAAAACGAACCUUCCAGCUCAGCAAGCAAACUUACAUCCAGAACCUCAACCUGAGCUACAAAUCUUCUCAAAACUCGCUACCAUUGUUCUAGUCUUACACGUCCUCACAGAGGUUACAUCAAUGGUUUUCAAUGGACCAUACUCUUUCUCUAGUUAUUCCCUUGCUCUUAUAAUUCUUCCUACCAAAGCUUUCUCAUCUACUUUAUUUUUACCAACUCCAUUUUUAUGUCCCAUCCCCCUGUCCUCUUUAUGGUCUUUUAGGGACUCUGCCAUAUUGAGUGCCUGGUAUCUGCCACAAGAUUCUCCUUGUUCCUUAGUCAUAACUUUUAUGUACUUUUAUUUGAAUUAACUAUAAAGGAUUCUUUAUGUUACAACAAG